AAGCGUUUAUGACCAGACUUGGGCUUGUUUAAUCAUCCGGGCUUCUGCCCGGUGCACUUGUUCAGCCCAGGCCAGCAUCAUUUUUCCCCGGGGGAUAAAGGCGGAGGGAAUGUGGCUCUCUUCGGGGAGUGUUAUAGCCCACCGUGUAAUACCCUGGGGGGGAAUGAGGUUCGCGCAUCUGCAAGGAUGCUGGCGUAAUGGUCAUCAACGA
rnacentral:rRNA from 1 species